rnacentral:rRNA from 1 species
UUAGUGUUCACGCAUGCAGACUAUAUCUUCUGCCACCGAAUACAUUAGCAUGGGAUAAUGGAAUAGGACCCUGUCCUCCUAUUUUACCUGGUGGUGUUUUAGGAGGGGGUAAGGAUUAAUAAGGAUAGAUGGUUGGGUUAAUAUUUAAUUGGUGACGUAAAAUUCAUGGAUGUAUGAAAGAUAGACUUCUUUCUAAGAAUCCGUCAACGAUGUUUUUUUUCAUCAAGAACGAAAGAUAGGGGAUGGAUCAAGAACAAAGAACCACCUAGUUUUACCCAUGUAGCAGGGCGACCACCCAUUACGGAACAUACGAUAAAAAACACAUCCCAUCAUCUUGGGCUUGCUCUGGAUACCUGUUGGAGUGGGACUAAGUCCUUUUCGCAUGGCUCGGUUUGCUAGCGCCAUUUGAUCAGUGGUUCGUACGGCUUUCCCCCGCUGUAAGGCUUUCGGGAAAAUGGAUGAUAUGGUAUUGGGGGCCAAGUCUGUAAACAUCAUGAGACUUUUAACAGAAACA